AGUCGGGUAUGUUGUGUCUCACCAGAAAAAGGCAUGUCAUAUAACAAAUGGGCAGGGGGACAGGGAGGAUCUAGCAGAACUUAGGGGACGGUAAAGAAUAUGAUCAAAAUAUAUUGUAUGAAAAAAAAUUAAAAAUAACCACCCUCCUUCCUUGCUAACUCAUCCUUCUCCCAGACCUUAGUUUGGAGAGAAAAUGUGAAAUUUAGGGGUUUGGCUUGUUUGUGCCUGUUGAUAAUUGCAUAAUGUAGGAUAUCCAGGAUCGCAUCCAGUAUAUAAAAGAUACAAGAAAGCGAUGUAGGUCCCAGGAACUCCUUAGUGCCCUUUCAUGGCUUCUUUGAGGCAGUUUGCUUCUUUACAUUUCUUUCUACCUUGUAGAAUUGCUUGUUUAUUGGUUUUAUUAUGUUCAGUGUUUUUAAAUAUGAUUGUCUAUUAAAUAUGAGUGAAGAUCAGAGAGGAAUGGACAGAUACAUGUGAAGGGAUACUAGCCUGCUUAAGCAUGCGGCUCUAGCAGGCCUUGCUCUUCUUCCCAUUCCCUCUGUCUUGCUGAAAACCAUUAGAUUAUAUUCCUAAAGUGAGGUACCAAGAAAUAUUCCCUUAUUGAACCACUUCCUCCUUCUGAGACUGAUGACCAAGGUCCAGCUAUUAAAGUAUUGAAGUUCUGCAACCAAAAGCUCCCUUUGACUCACCUCAUGCUCAGUUAAAAUGAAACACCUCAUCCUAACAUAGGAUUUUCCCCUUUAUCUCUAUAAACCACCAUUUUCCUAUGGUCUCUUCUCUAUCCAUAGGUAGUCCUUUGUCCCCUGGGACAAACACUCCCUUCCCCCUCUCCCUGGUUUCCUUCCCCUUUUCUGCCUUUUGUUUCUCUGGGGGCAAAUUAAUCUCCUUUAUGUUGAGAAUUUGAUCUUUGGGUUAUCCUGACACUGAUCUAUUUCUUGGACAUGCCAUGCUUUGCAUAUGAAACAGGAGUGCAGCAUUUCUGGGUGGUUGCUAGCUCACACAUCCCUCACUAGAAUGUGUACUGGAGACCAGACAUAAAGCACUUCCUGAGCACAGCAAGAGACUUGAUAAUCAAAAGGAACACAGAAAAUGGCUACUGAGAAAAUGGACACACUCCCACAGUGAUUUAGGACUUCACUUCAGAUUAUAAUUAUUUAUGCACAUGUCUUCCCUCCUUUCUAGGAUUUUAAUCAGGGAUUGAAAACUGCAUAAACAACAGGGAUGGUAAAGACAGUCUAAGAAAGUGAAGUGGGCUGAAGAAGGAUUGUGGCUAAAGAGUGCUGUAAGUAGCUAACUCUAGAUGAUGACUUCAAGGAGGAAUUGUCUCAUUUGAACACUGCCCAGUCUCCAGAUUCUUUUAAAGAUAAGCCAAGAAUCUAGACUUUAUGUAAAAUUUCUAGCAUUUUAAACCAACAAAGAUUAAAAAACAAAUAAAAGUACCAUGCAGUUCC
rnacentral:lncRNA from 1 species